rnacentral:tRNA from 1 species
ACCGCGAUAGCUCAGUUGGUAGAGCCUCUGCCCGGUAAGCGGAUUGUUGCCAGUUCGUUUCCGGAUCGCGGCG